rnacentral:rRNA from 1 species
GACAGAGGUCCCGAGCGUUAGGCGGAAUCACUGGGCUUAAAGCGUGUGUAGGCGGAUGCCUAAGUACCUUGUGAAAUCCCACGGCUCACCCGUGGAACUGCUUGGUAUACUGGGUGUCUUGAGCCACUUAGGGGCUACCGGAACAAAUGGUGGAGCGGUGAAAUGCGUAGAUAUCAUUUGGUACGCCAAUGGUGAAAACAGGUAGCUGGGAGUGUGCUGACGCUGAGACACGAAAGCCAGGGGAGCAAACGGG